CAGGGCUGAAAAUUAGCGGUCGCCCAGUCGCCCACGGCGACUUAAUUUGUAAUUGGGCCACCAAAAAUUUCAAAAUAGUCGUCCAGUCGGCGACUAAAAAAAUCGGCCGUAGAUUAAAUUAAUAUCUGCCAUUAAAUCAACUCAUGUGAAAAUUCAAAGGAGCAAAUUGGCUCCAAAAUUAUUAAAUUUGCUCAAGAAAAUCACGAUUGGCUCAAUCUUCCAAAAAGUAUUACUUUUGGAAUCUCCUGUCUAAAUUUAGCAUUUGCUAUUUUAAGAAUGGAAAAGUACACAUUUGGUUUUCCAUUUUCAAUUUCCGUUUUACCGCUUCUUAUCUCAAAACACAGCGACACAGUCUACUUCUUGUGGGUCAUUGACUGGUUUAUAUUUUUACCUCCCCUUCUGUAUUAAAUAUCGAUAUGAAAAAUAACACAGUCUAAUACACUGACCCUCGCCGUUUGUUUACAUCAGCUGAUAAAUAUGACACUAAUUGUAGUGAACAAUGUGUUGAAUAUGCAUUGGAAAUCGGGUCUAAAUAUUUAAUAUGAAACAAUAAGUAGCGGCAUCCCAAGAUUACUCAAGAUUAUCGCUAAUCAAAUCAGAAGUUUGGGUAUGAAAUAGCGACAAAUUAUGUUCUGCAGUUGACAACUUGACCUGUUGACGAUACAGAUAGUCUUCAAGCCAAAUCUUUGUCAUUAACCAUUAGCAAGCUGAAGCAGCACAUUGGAAUGUGUUUCUGCUGUUACUGUCAUGCCACUGACUUAACCAGGCAAAUGUCAUAGCUACUGAGCUGGAAGCUUUUAUAAUUAUCGACUGUAAAUUUUAUAAGUUUGAUGUGUUAAUGUGAUAAAAAAUGUAGGUACCAAAAUAAAAGUGGACAUUACA